rnacentral:rRNA from 1 species
AGCGAACGCUGGCGGCAGGCCUAACACAUGCAAGUCGAACGGAUCUUUCGGGAUUAGUGGCGGACGGGUGAGUAACACGUGGGAACGUGCCCUUUGGUUCGGAACAACUCAGGGAAACUUGAGCUAAUACCGGAUGUGCCCCUCGGGGGAAAGAUUUAUCGCCAUUGGAGCGGCCCGGGUCUGAUUAGCUAGUUGGUGAGGUAAAGGCUCACCAAGGCGACGAUCAGUAGCCGGUCUGAGAGGAUGGUCAGCCACAUUGGGACUGAGACACGGCCCAAACUCCUACGGGAGGCAGCAGUGGGGAAUCUUGCGCAAUGGGCGAAAGCCUGACGCAGCCAUGCCGCAUGAAUGAUGAAGGUCUUAGGAUUGUAAAAUUCUUUCACCGGGGACGAUAAUGACGGUACCCGGAGAAGAAACCCCGGCUAACUUCGUGCCAGCCGCCGCCGUAACAC